rnacentral:rRNA from 1 species
UUAUCUGCCCAGUGAAAAGUUUUAACGGCCGCAGUACCUUGACUGUGCAAAGGUAGCAUAAUAAUUUGACUUUUAAAUGGAGCCUAGAAUGAAAGAAAGAACGUAAACAACUUGUCUCAUUAAUAUUACUUUAAAUUUGAUGCAUGAGUGAAAAUACUCAUAAAUUUAAAAAUAGACGAGAAGACCCUUAGAAUUUUUAAGAAUAUAAAAACAGAAUUUUUAUAUUUUUUUGUUGGGGCAACAAUAUUUCAAUAUAAAUAAAUAUUUAAUUUAAAAUAUAAGUCGAUUUAAUAAUUAUAGUUAAAUUACCUAAGGGAUAACAGCAUAAUUUUAAUAAUAAGCUUGUGACCUCGAUGUUGGACUAGGUACUAUUAAGGCUAAUCGUUUUAA